UGGCCCACCGGCUGGCGGCGGCCCACCGGCUGGCGGCGGGUGCUGGCCGCCGCCGCGUUUCCGUUGCGCGGCGGGCUGA
rnacentral:tRNA from 1 species